rnacentral:rRNA from 1 species
GAGGAUCCAAGCGUUAUCCGGAAUCAUUGGGUUUAAAGGGUCCGUAGGCGGGUUUAUAAGUCAGUGGUGAAAGCCCAUCGCUCAACGAUGGAACGGCCAUUGAUACUGUAGAUCUUGAAUUAUUAGGAAGUAACUAGAAUAUGUAGUGUAGCGGUGAAAUGCUUAGAGAUUACAUGGAAUACCAAUUGCGAAGGCAGGUUACUACUAAUGGAUUGACGCUGAUGGACGAAAGCGUGGGUAGCGAACAGGAUUAGAUACCCUGGUAGUCCACGCCGUAAACGAUGGAUACUAGCUGUUCGGAGCAAUCUGAGUGGCUAAGCGAAAGUGAUAAGUAUCCCACCUGGGGAGUACGUUCGCAAGAAUG